UCCAUUCUCUAUCUCCAUUUUCUUUUCCUUCAAGCUUAAUUUCCAUAUUUUAACAAACCUUCAUCGAUCACAGUUCAAUCCUUCAAAAAUAAUUAUCUACGUUUUCUUCCCUUCAAAACGAGUUAAAUUUUGGAUUUUUGGCCAGAAAUUUUGAAUCAACCUUCAAACCAUUUAAUGGCUUCUUAUCAUUGAAGUCAUCCUUUAAUAGCAGAUGGAAAUUGUGAAUGGGGUUCUCAGUGUUCAUGUUCUUUGAAUGACAGGUGACAUUCUUAUUCCAUUGAUCUACAUAGAAGAACUGUAUCUUCAGUUGAAAUGAAAAUAAGAUUUUUAAAAGAAAUUGAAGAUGAUGCUACUUCUACCCUUGUUGAAAAAGAAGAUCAUGAUUCAAAAAAGUCCCGUAUACAUUCAAAAAAGUCUUCAAGACGAAUUUGCAAAAAAAUGAUUGCUUCUUCUAGCGAAAACGAAAAUUCAAAUAGAUUACAUUUAAUAAAGCUUAAUUAUGAGUUUAUUAAGCUGAUUGGGGUUAUUAAGUGAGUUAAUUCGAGUAAAAAUAUUAUUGUUUUGAUGAUAUUGACUCAAGUAUUUCAUUUGUUAACAUUUUAAAAAAAAGAAAGAGGUAUAUUUUAUUUAAUGUAUAAAAUUUUUAUAAAGAAUACUUCAAUAAAAGUGUAUUUUGAUUAUAUUUUAUUAAUUAAUUACUAUCUUAUCUUUAUAAAAAUAAAUUUAAAUAAAGUAUUGAAAAAUAAAUUCCUAAAUGCAAUCCUUAUUCAACUACCAAUUACGAAAUUUUACUUAUUUCGUAGAUCGUUUAUUAUACCCUUACAGCAUGUCUUAUAUAAGACUAUUUUACGAUGAGACGACUUUAAUAGAAUUUAAUGGGUCAAAGCUAAAAAUAAAACCCAUGCUUAUCUCAUAACUUGACACACCUCUUCUCCCUCAUACAAAACCCACGGUUCUCAAUCCCUCUCUUCCCUCUUCUCUCACGUCCCACUCCCCUCACCUAUAGCGGCGGCACAACCAAGCCCAGCCACGAGUUCCACCACCAACAGCAAUCAUUUCUCCUCCUCCCUUUAUUGUUGGUAACCACUUUUUCCUCUUUUGUUGUUUUGUUUUCAAAUUUAAAUGUUAGGAUUUUAUAAAUUGAUUUGGGGAUUUUGUGACUCAAUUUGAAGUUCAAGAUUGCAAGGUCCUUCAAUGGUGAUUGAGGAGACGAUAUCAUCGAAGAACCCUUCUAGUUGAUAGCUGGAUUCGUUACCUUGAAGCGACAUCGUCGUCGAUUACAGAUCGAAUCCGGUCGGGAACAAUUGGGUUAGCAAUGUUGAUGAGGGUGCCAAGGAUUUUCUUUUGAGCUGAGCCCGUGGGAGUUUAUAGUUUUUAUUAGGAAUUUGUUAAAUGUAUAUUAGUUCUGAUUAUGUUGGUUAUAUUGAACUCGAAGUGAAUUGUAAGAUUACUUUAUGUUUAGGUUAGAUGUUUGGUUGAGAUUUAGCUGAGUUAGUUACAUUAAAGAGCUGGUGAUCCCUUUGCUCAAGUUUUGGAAGUGUGACUUCAGUUUCUUGGGAAACGAACCCAGUGAUGACUCUGUUUACUCAGUUAACGGUAGGCCGGGUUGUUACAAAAAUGGGGUAAAUCUGAAACCUAAAUAAAAAAUAAAUAAACCCAAGGUAAGAUUGGCUAAUUUAUAUAAACGUUUAUAUGAAUAAACCCGAGGUGAGAUUGGAAGAUUAUUGGGGACUAAUUGAGACAAUGUUUGUCCUGUAUAAUGUCGAUGAUGAGACUUUAAUAAUGAGAAAAUAUACUAAUGAGGCAAUUAACGAAUUGUUUCCAUUGUGUUAGAAUUUGAUUUUAACACUUUCGGGUAGCUUGUAAUGUAGCCUCUAUAUAUUAUUCGAUGAUUAAUGGGGACUAAACUGAGACAAUAUUUAUAAAAAAGCGUUUUUCAUUAAGAGAUGAUAAAGUACUACAACUUGUACAUAAUUAUAAAUUCAUUCCAAACAUUUAGUUCAUGUAUUCCUCUUCGUAUGCCACUGCAAUGCAAUCCUUAACAGCCCAUUUAGGUGCUUGUACUUGUUCUGGUAGUAUGCCAUUGUCUUUAAGCUGUUUUUUUUUGUUGUGUGGAACAUCGUAAUGAUUUGAUCCUUUUGCUUUGAAUAUUUCAUUCAUCACAUAUUGUAAGGACAUCUACACAUUACUAAGUGUCUUUGGAUGUAAUUCAUCAUACGCUUGCUCAACUGCUUCUACUAACUUGUCAAUGGAUUUUGGCAUUUUUUUAUGCAUCAAUGAUUGAAUGCUCCUAAAAACACCCAAGUCCAAUAUGUUGCAAUCGGGACUGUUUGGUGGUUGUUGAGUUAAAAUAAAGGUAAAACCAUCUUGUUUGUGUUGUGCUUGUCAUUCUUCAUCGUCUUGAGUAAUGUGUUCCUUGUAAUUAUCUUGUUGAAUAAAAAUGACUUUUUCUCUUUCGUCAUUAGGCCAUUUUAGUUUGAUUGCUGGAAUAAUUUGAGUAAUUAACAUUUUUCUUAUUGCUUUCUUGUUAACUGAGCUGAUGGGUUUUGUCUCUAAUAUACCCUUUGGCCUAUUUUUGAAAGCCCUUUGAGUGGCCAUUUGUUUUGUGAAUGGAAAAAUUUCAAUCUUCCCAUUGAAUGUAGAUUCACCCAAACUGUUCCACCUUGAUCUUGCCACACAACCCAUGAGCAUAAUCUUAGGGAUAAAUUUUGAUGAUUUUCCACUCCUUUAUGGCUUAGGUUCGUUUUUUGCAAGAUAUACUCCUAUAGUUGGUUAAAUUUACUCUAUGGUUUCUCUUUCUUACUUAACUAAUUGAUGAAGUGAAGAAAAAAAUAGAAAGGGAUCGAACCUGAAAAAGUAUUUUUUUUUUCUUGCCUCUAUAGAACAAGUUUGGAGGUUUAUGCAACUCACUUUGGCUCUAAUGCCACACAUGUUGGCAGGAAAGUAAUAAAGAAGGCUAUUGAUUAAUAUUAGCAAAAGUAAUUCCACAAAUUGACAUGAAAAAAAAGAUACGUGUAUAUUUAUAGGAUAAAGACACACUAACUACUAUGCAAAAAACAUGCUAAUGAUAAAGACCCAAUUCUCAACUAUGUAAUCCACUAACUGAUUAUUCUCAACACCCUUUCUUACUACGAACAACUAAUAGCACACAAACAGAUUGUUCCUUCACUUAAUGCAACGAACUUGA